GGACGCUUUGACAACCUUAUUGGAAUGUUUGGUUCCAAACAGGUCCCAGCCGUUGGUAUCAGUCUUGGUAUUGAGCGAGUUCUUGUUAUCAUGGAACAACUUUUGAAAGAUCAAAAUCAGACUGCUCGGGCGACUAAGACCGAAGUCCUAGUGAGCAUACUGGGGGAUGAUUUGACUCAAGCAGCGGAGCUUGCAAGUGAGAUAUGGAGUGCAAAAAU
rnacentral:misc_RNA from 1 species